UGGUUCUGGCAUCGAUGAAGAACGCAGCGAAAUGCGAUAAGUAAUGUGAAUUGCAGAAUUCAGUGAAUCAUCGAAUCUUUGAACGCACAUUGCGCCCACUAGCAUUCUAUUGGGCAUGCUUGUUCGAGCGUCCUCAAAAACCCCUCGGGCCCUGCAGGCUUCUGCGGCGGCCCGGUGUUGGGAGGCAGCGGCUGCCGCUGCCCCCUAAAUCCAGCGGCGGACCCCUCCGUGGCCCUGGCGUAGUAAACAUCCUCGUCUUCGGCCGCCGGUUGGGCCCUGCCCCUAGAACCGUCUCCUAAAUUUGGACCUCGAAUCAAGUAGGAAUACCCGCUGA
rnacentral:misc_RNA from 1 species